AGAAUCAACGCUGGCGGCGUGCCUAACACAUGCAAGUCGCACGAGAAAGUGGAGCAAUCCACGAGUAAAGUGGCGCACGGGUGAGUAACACGUGAAUAAUCUACCUCCGAGUGGGGAAUAACUGAGAGAAAUCUUAGCUAAUACCGCAUAAUACCCACGGGUCAAAGCAGCAAUGCGCUUGGAGAGGAGUUCGCGGCCGAUUAGCUAGUUGGCGGGGUAAUGGCCCACCAAGGCGAUUGAUCGGUA
rnacentral:rRNA from 1 species